rnacentral:lncRNA from 10 species
UAGAAAAAUAUAAGAAUUGUAUUUUUACAAUAUAAUCCCCUAGAAAAAUUGGACACUUAUAAAGGAAAAUACUGAUGACAUUCUUCAGCUCUGUGUUCCCACUCGAAUCUCAUUUUGAUUUGUAAUUCCUAUAAUCCCCACAUGUCAAGGUAAAAGCAGGCUGCCCAAGCCAGCAGCGGCAACCUGCUUGGGUCCCCUUCCACACUGUGGAAGCUUUGUUCUUUCGCUCUUCACAAUAAAUCUUGCUGCUGCUCACUCUCUGGGUCUGUGCCACCUUUAUGAGCUGUAACACUCACAGCGAAGGUCUGCAGCUUCACUCCUGAAGCCAGCAAGACCACCAGCACACUGGGAGGGACAAACAACUCUGGAUGGGAGGAAUGAACAACUCCAGACGUGCCGCCUUUAAAAGCUGUAACACUCACCAUGAAGGUCUGCAGCUUCACUCCUGAAGUGAGCGAGACCAUGAACCCAUCAGAAGGAAGAAACUCCGGACAUGUCCAAACAUCAGAAGGAAAAAAGUCCGGACACGCCAUCUUUAAGAACUGUAACACUCACUGUGAGGGUCCGCGGCUUCAUUCUUGAAGUCAGCAAGACCAAGAACCCACCAAUUCCAGACACAUUUUGGCAGCCAUGAAGGGACUAUCACCAAGCGGUAAGACUAUCGCCUAUCGCCAAGCAAAUCGAGGCCAUCAAGCUACAGAUGAUCUUACAAAUGGAACCUCAAAUGACCUCAACUAACAACUUCUACCAAGGACCCCUGGACUGACCCACUGGCCCUUCCACUGGCCUAAAUCAUUCCCCUCUGGAGAACACUACAACUGCAGGGCCCCUUCUUCACCCCUAUCCAGCAGGAAGUAGCUAGAGUGGUCAUUGGCCAAAUUCCCAAUAGCAGUUGGGGUGUCCUGUUUAGAGGGGGGAUUGAGAGGUGACAACGGCUAGCAGUCCUCACUUACUCUCGGCACCUCCUCGGCCUUGGCAUCCACUCUGGCUGUGCUUGAGGAGCCCUUCAGCCUGCCGCUUCCCUGUGGGAGCCACUCUCUGGGCUGGCCGAGGCUGGAGCCGACUCCCUCUGCUUGCGGGGAGGUGUGGAGGGAGAGGCGUGGGAGGGAAUCGGGGCUGUGCGCAGCACUCACGGGCCAGUGUGAGUUCCGGGUGGGCGCAGGCUUGCCGGGCCCCACACUUGGAGUGGCCGGCCGGCACCACUGGCCCCAGGCAGUGAGGGUCUUAGCACCUGGGCCAGCAGCUGCAGAGGGUACGCCGGGUCCCCCAGCACUGCUGGCCCGCCUGUGCCAUGCUCGAAUUCUCGCCGGGCCUCAGCCACCUCCCCAUGGGGCAGGGCUCAGGACCAGCAGCCCACCAUGCCUGAGCCCCCCACCCAUGGGCGUGGGCUCCCGCACGGCCCGAGCCUCCCGAACAGGUGCUGCCUCCUGCUCCAUGGCACCCAGUCCCAUCGACUGCCCAAGGGCUGAGGAGUGCAGGCAUGCGGCGUGGGACUGGCGGGCAGCUCUGCCCAUGGCCCUGGUGCAGGAUCCAUUAGGUGAAGCCAGCUGGUCUCCUGAGUUGGGUGGGGACUUGGAGAACUUUUAUGUCUAGCUAGAGGAUUGUAAAUGCACUAAUCAGCACUCCAUGUCUAGCUAAAAGAUUCUAAAUUCACCAAUCAGCACUCUGUGUCUAGCUAAAAGUUUGUAAACACACCAAUCUGUGCUCUGUGUUUAGCUAAUCUAGUGGGGACUUGGAGAACUUUUGUGUCCAGCCAAAGGAUUGUAAAGGCACCAAUCAGUACUCUGUGUCUAGCUCAAGGUUUGUAAAUGCACGAAGCAGCACCCUGUCAAAACAGACCAAUCAGCUCUCUGUAAAAUGGGCCAAUCAGCAUUCUGUAAAAUGGACCAAUCAGCAGGAUGUGGGUGGGGUCAGAUAAGGAAAUAAAAGCAGGCUGCCCGAGCCAGCCUCAGCAACUCACUUGGGUCCCCUUCUGUGCUGUGGAAGCUUUGUUCUUUCGCUCUUCGUGCAAUAAAUCUUGCUGCUGCUCACUCUUUGGGUCCGGGCUGCAUUUAUGAGCUGUUAACACUCACCGCGAAGGUCUGCAGCUUCACUCCUGAAGCCAGCAAGACCAUCAACCCAUCUGGAGGGACAAACAACUCUGGAUGGGAGGAACGAACAACUCCAGAUGCGCUGCCUUUCAGAGCUGUAACAUUCACUGUGAAGGUCUGCAGCUUCACUCCUGAAGUCAGCAAGACCAUGAACCCAUCAGAAGGAAGAAACUCCACACACGUCUGAACAUCAGAAGGAACAAAGUCUGGACACGCCAUCUUUAAGCACUGUAACACUCACCACGAGGGUCCACAGCUUCAUUCUUGAAGUCAGCGAGACCAAGAACCCAACAAUUCCGGACACAAAGGGAGAGACCUGGUGGGAGGUGACUGGAUCAUGGGGGUGGUUUCUCCCAUGUUGUUCUCAUAAUAGUGACUGAGUUCUCACGAGAUCUGAUGGUUUCAUAAGUUUGACAGUUCCCCCUUUACACACACCCUUUCUCCUGCCAUCUUGUGAAGAAGGUGCCUGCUUCCCCUUCUGCCAUGAUUGUAAGUUUCCUGAGGCCUCCCCAGCUGUGCAGAACUAUCAGUCAAUUAAGCCUCUUUCUUUUGUAAAUUACCCAGUCUCUGGGAAGUUCUUUAUAGCAGUGUGAAAACACACUAAUACAACCAGUUAACAAAAUGGAUUAAAGUACAAUAGUGAAAAACACCAACAUAAUGAUAGUCAUAGGUUAAUUGCUAUUGCCAAAGAACCAGCCUCUACUACAAGUGUCAGUCUAACAUAUUUCAGAAGAGAAUUCUUCCCUAAAGUUCAGUAAAAUUCUACUUAAAAAAUAAUUACAAAGUGUAGAAAAAGGAUCCGUUCCUUAUUUCACAAAGCUAACAUACCCCUGGCAUUAAAAUUCAAAAGAUAGUACAAAACUAGAAAUAUGUAGAACAAUGUCACUUAACGAAUAUUAAGACAAACUAAAAUAUUGUAAAGAUGAUGUAUAUAUAUUUUAAAAAUAUUUCAUUUUAAUUUAUUUGAAAUUUACUGGGAAGAAACAAAGGGAAAUAUUUGUAUAAUAUAUGAAAGAGGAACUUUUAAAAAUUUGUCAAAAAUAAAAUUACCUGCCCAAAGUCACAUGAUUACUAAGUGGUCAUAAUUGCCCAGCUUCCUGAGCUUCUAAUUUAGCGAGCUUUCUUUCUGUAGAAAGGAUAAUUGUCAGUCAUCUGUUAAGAAGUAGCUAUAAAUAUCCACCCAUUAAAAAUUUUAAUUUUCUGUAUAUUACAAUCAGGGAGUAUAUUUAUGAAAAACAUUAAAACCAGCUGAAAUAAUAAAUGUCAAAAUUAUGUUCUGGUAGCUGCAUUAAUUGUAUCCCCAGUCCUAUCCAACUUCUGGGAAAUAGAUAUGUG